rnacentral:rRNA from 1 species
UACAGAGGAGCCAAGCGUUGUCCGGAUUGACUGGGCGUAAAGCGCACGCAGGCGGAUGCGCGCGUGGGGUGUGAAAUCUGGCCGCUUAACGGCCAGGCGCCAUCCCAUACGGCGCGUCUGGAGUGAUGCAGAGGUCGGUGGAAUUCCGGGUGUAGUGGUGAAAUGCGUAGAGAUCCGGAGGAACACCAGUGGCGAAAGCGGCCACCUGGACUGUACCUGACGCUGAAACGCGAAAGCUAGGGGAGCGAACGGG